rnacentral:tRNA from 1 species
AAUAUUAGCAUAAAUAGUAUAUAAAAUAUAUUAGGUUUAGAGUCUAAAGAAAAUUAAUUAU